rnacentral:rRNA from 1 species
ACUCCUACGGGAGGCUGCAGUGGGGAAUAUUGCACAAUGGGCGCAAGCCUGAUGCAGCGACGCCGCGUGAAGGAUGAAGGCCUUCGGGUUGUAAACCUCUUUCAGUAGGGAAGAAGCGAAAGUGACGGUACCUGCAGAAGAAGCGCCGGCUAACUACGUGCCAGCAGCCGCGGUAAUACGUAGGGCGCAAGCGUUAGCCGGAAUUAUUGGGCGUAAAGAGCUCGUAGGCGGUUUGUCGCGUCUGCCGUGAAAGUCCGGGGCUUAACUCCGGAUCUGCGGUGGGUACGGGCAGACUUGAGUGAUGUAGGGGAGACUGGAAUUCCUGGUGUAGCGGUGAAAUGCGCAGAUAUCAGGAGGAACACCGAUGGCGAAGGCAGGUCUCUGGGCAUUAACUGACGCUGAGGAGCGAAAGCAUGGGGAGCGAACAGGAUUAGAUACCCUGGUAGUCCAUGC